GGCUCCAUCAUCUAACGGUUAGGAUUCAAGGUUUUCAUCCUUGCCAUAGGGGUUCAAAUCCCCUUGGAGUCACCA
rnacentral:tRNA from 1 species